ACAACUCUUCCUGGAGACUUAAUUAUUGUGUUGGAGGGGAGGUAACCACCAUGUAUCAUUUGGACCGCCCAAUGUACUUGUUGGGUUAUCUUGCUAAUCAGAGUCGGGUUUAUCUAAUUGACAAGGAAUUCAAUGUUAUGGGAUACACUCUACUUCUUAGCUUAAUCGAGUACAAGACUCUAGUGAUGCGUGGGGACCUGGAAAGAGCCAAUGAAAUUUUACCUUCUAUUCCUAAAGAGCAUCAUAACAGUGUGGCUCGUUUCUUGGAAUCACGGGGUAUGAUAGAGAAUGCUUUGGAGGUAGCUACAGAUCCCGAUUACAAAUUUGAGCUAGCUAUACAGCUUGGCAGAUUGGAGAUUGCAAAGGAAAUUGCCACUGAAGUUCAGACUGAGUCAAAGUGGAAGCAGCUGGGAGAAUUAGCUAUGUCUACCGGAAAGUUAGAAAUGGCUGAGGACUGUAUGAAGCAUGCAACAGACUUGAGUGGUUUGUUGCUUUUAUAUUCUUCUUUAGGAGAUGCUGAAGGGAUUUCAAAACUUGCAUCUCUCGCAAAAGAGCAAGGGAAGAACAAUGUUGCAUUCCUUUGUUUAUUUAUGUUGGGCAAAGUGGAAGAUUGCCUCCAGCUUUUGGUGGAAAGCAAUCGGAUACCCGAGGCUGCUUUGAUGGCACGAUCCUAUCUUCCAAGCAAGGUUUCAGAGAUUGUAGCUAUUUGGAGAAAAGAUCUCAACAAGGUUAACCCAAAAGCUGCUGAAUCUUUGGCUGAUCCUGAUGAGUAUCCAAAUAUGUUUGAUGAUUGGCAAGUGGCUCUAUCUGUUGAAUCUAAAGUUACAGAGACAAGGGGUGUAUAUCCUCCUGCAGAGGAGUAC
rnacentral:misc_RNA from 1 species